AGUCGAGCGGACAGAUGGGAGCUUGCUCCCUGAUGUUAGCGGCGGACGGGUGAGUAACACGUGGGUAACCUGCCUGUAAGACUGGGAUAACUCCGGGAAACCGGGGCUAAUACCGGAUGGUUGUUUGAACCGCAUGGUUCAAACAUAAAAGGUGGCUUCGGCUACCACUUACAGAUGGACCCGCGGCGCAUUAGCUAGUUGGUGAGGUAACGGCUCACCAAGGCAACGAUGCGUAGCCGACCUGAGAGGGUGAUCGGCCACACUGGGACUGAGACACGGCCCAGACUCCUACGGGAGGCAGCAGUAGGGAAUCUUCCGCAAUGGACGAAAGUCUGACGGAGCAACGCCGCGUGAGUGAUGAAGGUUUUCGGAUCGUAAAGCUCUGUUGUUAGGGAAGAACAAGUACCGUUCGAAUAGGGCGGUACCUUGACGGUACCUAACCAGAAAGCCACGGCUAACUACGUGCCAGCAGCCGCGGUAAUACGUAGGUGGCAAGCGUUGUCCGGAAUUAUUGGGCGUAAAGGGCUCGCAGGCGGUUUCUUAAGUCUGAUGUGAAAGCCCCCGGCUCAACCGGGGAGGGUCAUUGGAAACUGGGGAACUUGAGUGCAGAAGAGGAGAGUGGAAUUCCACGUGUAGCGGUGAAAUGCGUAGAGAUGUGGAGGAACACCAGUGGCGAAGGCGACUCUCUGGUCUGUAACUGACGCUGAGGAGCGAAAGCGUGGGGAGCGAACAGGAUUAGAUACCCUGGUAGUCCACGCCGUAAACGAUGAGUGCUAAGUGUUAGGGGGUUUCCGCCCCUUAGUGCUGCAGCUAACGCAUUAAGCACUCCGCCUGGGG
rnacentral:rRNA from 1 species